GCACUUCAUAAAGUCCCGAUUAAAUUGCCCCAUUCUGUGGGACACAGCUACAGCCUUGAAGGUCGUGCUGCUGCUGUUGUGCGUCUGAGUCCCAGCGCUGGAAAUGAAAAGGUUCAGAGAAUCCUGACACCAAGGAGAGGCACAAAGCUGCACUCUGCUCAUGACAGCUUCUCUUUACACCACAGCUUUUCCUCUGAGCAUGUUCCAGUGUCUCUGCACUCCCAGUCCACCUGCAGCAGCCAGGGCCAGGCUCUCGUAGCCUGGCUCUCCUGCUGGGAGCUUCUCAGAGCACGAGCCGCCUCCUUUCCAGCAGAUCGCAGGUGUUCUCCACAUGGCGUGAGCAGAUAUUUGCAGCAGUUUUCCUUUCCCUCCUCUGCUGAAUUGUCCUUUUUAACAAAGACUACUUGAAAGACUGUGGAGAAGUGACUUUUCUCUGUGAGAUUCAGCUUUUAGUGACCUUGCAGGGAUGUCCUGCUAUGAAGCUGCUGAGAGACAGGGAUUUGAAGAAUCCAUUAUCUGUAUCACAAACAAGGACAGAGGACAAAUCUCCCUUUAUGUUGUGCCUGUGAGAGCAUCAUUUUUUGCCAUUUUGGAAGCUCAGUAUUUUCCUCAUGGCUCAUCAUCUUGGUAGAGACCAAUUGCCAAUGCUUCCU
rnacentral:lncRNA from 1 species